AGUGACGAUAGCCUAGGAGAUACACCUGCACCCAUGCCGAACACAGAAGUUAAGCCCUAGAACGCCGGAAGUAGUUGGGGGUUGCCCCCUGUGAGAUAGGGAAGUCGCUUAGCU
rnacentral:rRNA from 1 species